rnacentral:rRNA from 1 species
GAUGAACGCUGGCGGCGUGCCUAAUACAUGCAAGUCGAGCGAACAGACGAGGAGCUUGCUCCUCUGACGUUAGCGGCGGACGGGUGAGUAACACGUGGAUAACCUACCUAUAAGACUGGGAUAACUUCGGGAAACCGGAGCUAAUACCGUAUAAUAUAUUGAACCGCAUGGUUCAAUAGUGAAAGACGGUUUUGCUGUCACUUAUAGAUGGAUCCGCGCCGCAUUAGCUAGUUGGUAAGGUAACGGCUUACCAAGGCGACGAUGCGUAGCCGACCUGAGAGGGUGAUCGGCCACACUGGAACUGAGACACGGUCCAGACUCCUACGGGAGGCAGCAGUAGGGAAUCUUCCGCAAUGGGCGAAAGCCUGACGGAGCAACGCCGCGUGAGUGAUGAAGGUCUUCGGAUCGUAAAAAUCUGUUAUUAGGGAAGAACAAAUGUGUAAGUAACUAUGCACGUCUUGACGGUACCUAAUCAGAAAGCCACGGCUAACUACGUG